GCCCGGCGUGGUGCCAAGUGCCUGUAGUCCCAGCUGCUCGGCAGGCUGAAGUGGAAGGAUCGCUUGAGCCCAAAAAUUCUGGGCUGUAGUGCACUAUGCCGAUGGGGUGUCCACACUAAGUUCAGCAUCAGUACGGUGACCUCCCAGGAGUGCAGGACCACUAGGUUGCCUAAGGAGGGGUGAACCGACCCAGGGUGGAAACAGAGCAGGUCAAAACUCCCGUGCUGAUCAGUAGUGGGAUCGUGCCUGUGAACGGCCACUGCAUUCCAGCCUGGGCAACAUAGCGAGACCCCAUCUCU
rnacentral:SRP_RNA from 1 species